UGGGGAAUUUUUGGACAAUGGGCGAAAGCCUGAUCCAGCAAUGCCGCGUGUGUGAAGAAGGCCUUCGGGUUGUAAAGCACUUUUGUCCGGAAAGAAAUCCUUGGCUCUAAUACAGUCGGGGGAUGACGGUACCGGAAGAAUAAGCACCGGCUAACUACGUGCCAGCAGCCGCGGUAAUACGUAGGGUGCAAGCGUUAAUCGGAAUUACUGGGCGUAAAGCGUGCGCAGGCGGUUUGCUAAGACCGAUGUGAAAUCCCCGGGCUCAACCUGGGAACUGCAUUGGUGACUGGCAGGCUAGAGUAUGGCAGAAGGGGGGUAGAAUUCCACGUGUAGCAGUGAAAUGCGUAGAGAUGUGGAGGAAUACCGAUGGCGAAGGCAGCCCCCCUGGGCCAAUACUGACGCUCAUGCACGAAAGCGUGGGGGAGCAAACAGGAUUAGAUACCCUGGUAGUCCACGCCCUAAAACGAUGUCAACUAGUUGUUGGGGAUUCAUUUCCUUAGUAACGUAGCUAACGCGUGAAGUUGACCGCCUGGGGGAGUACGGUCGCAA
rnacentral:rRNA from 1 species